UCACCCUGACCGGUGGAUCACUGCUCGUGGGUCGAU
rnacentral:rRNA from 1 species